rnacentral:rRNA from 1 species
GACGAACGCUGGCGGCGUGCUUAACACAUGCAAGUCGAACGAUGAAGCCCAGCUUGCUGGGUGGAUUAGUGGCGAACGGGUGAGUAACACGUGGGCAACCUGCCCCAAACUCUGGGAUAACUCCUCGAAAGAGGUGCUAAUACCGGAUACGAACUAGGUAGACAUCUGCACUAGUUGGAAAGUUUUUCGGUUUGGGAUGGGCCCGCGGCCUAUCAGCUUGUUGGUGGGGUAACGGCUCACCAAGGCUACGUCGGGGAACCGGCCUGAGAGGGGGACCGGUCACACUGGGACUGAGACACGGCCCAGACUCCUACGGGAGGCAGCAGUGGGGAAUAUUGCGCAAUGGGCGAAAGCCUGACGCAGCGACGCCGCGUGAGGGAUGAAGGUCUUCGGAUCGUAAACCUCUUUCAGUAGGGACGAAGCGAAAGUGACGGUACCUAAAGAAGAAGCACCGGCUAACUACGUGCCAGCCGCCGCCGUAA